rnacentral:rRNA from 1 species
UAUGCGAUACUUGGUGUGAAUUGCAGAAUCCCGUGAACCAUCGAGUCUUUGAACGCAAGUUGCGCCCGAAGCCAUUAGGUCGAGGGCACGCCUGCCUGGGCGUCACGC